GCAAAAGCUCAAAUUUGAAAUCUAGCACUUUCAGUGUUCGAGUUGUAAUUUGAAGAAGGUAACUUUGGAAUUGGCUCUUGUCUAUGUUCCUUGGAACAGGACGUCACAGAGGGUGAGAAUCCCGUGCGAUGAGAUGUCCAAUUCUAUGUAAAGUGCUUUCGAAGAGUCGAGUUGUUUGGGAAUGCAGCUCUAAGUGGGUGGUAAAUUCCAUCUAAAGCUAAAUAUUGGCGAGAGACCGAUAGCGAACAAGUACAGUGAUGGAAAGAUGAAAAGAACUUUGAAAAGAGAGUGAAAAAGUACGUGAAAUUGUUGAAAGGGAAGGGCUUGAGAUCAGACUUGGUAUUUUGUGUUCCUUAUCCUUCUUGGAUUGGGUUCCUCACAGCUUACCGGGCCAGCAUCGGUUUGGAUGGCAGGAU
rnacentral:rRNA from 1 species